AAGAAGGCCUUCGGGUUGUAAAGCUCUUUCGCAAGGGAAGAAAACUUAUGAUCGAAUAAAUCAUGAGGUUGACGGUACCUUGAUAANAAGCACCGGCUAACUACGUGCCAGCAGCCGCGGUAAUACGUAGGGUGCGAGCGUUAAUCGGAAUUACUGGGCGUAAAGCGUGCGCAGGCGGUUUUGUAAGUCGGAUGUNAAAUCCCCGGGCUCAACCUGGGAACUGCGUUCGAAACUGCAAGGCUAGAGUGUGUCAGAGGGGGGUAGAAUUCCACGUGUAGCAGUGAAAUGCGUAUAGAUGUGGAGGAAUACCAAUGGCGAAGGCAGCCCCCUGGGAUAACACUGACGCUCAUGCACGAAAGCGUGGGGAGCAAACAGGAUUAGAUACCCUGGUAGUCCACGCCCUAANCGAUGUCAACUAGUUGUUGGUAGUAGUAAAAUCUAUGAGUAACGUA
rnacentral:rRNA from 1 species